AACGCUAUGAUGAGGUUACCAUAAUAUUGUUUGGCAGUGGCGGCUUUGCUGCCGUGAGCCUUCACAAAAACGACUUCUUCUUCCACUGAGCGUU
rnacentral:snoRNA from 1 species